rnacentral:rRNA from 1 species
UACGGAGGGAGCUAGCGUUGUUCGGAAUUACUGGGCGUAAAGCGCACGUAGGCGGCUAUUCAAGUCAGAGGUGAAAGCCCGGGGCUCAACCCCGGAACUGCCUUUGAAACUAGGUAGCUAGAACCUUGGAGAGGUCAGUGGAAUUCCGAGUGUAGAGGUGAAAUUCGUAGAUAUUCGGAAGAACACCAGUGGCGAAGGCGACUGACUGGACAAGUAUUGACGCUGAGGUGCGAAAGCGUGGGGAGCAAACAGG